AACUAACGCUGGCGGCGUGCCUAACACAUGCAAGUCGAACGAGAAAGUUGGCUUCGGCCGAUGAGUAAAGUGGCGCACGGGUGAGUAACGCGUGGAUAAUCUGCCCUUUAGUUUGGAAUAACGUACCGAAAGGUGCGCUAAUACCGGAUAAUACUGAAUGACUACUGUCGUUUAGUCAAAGAAGGCUUCUGUUUACAUGCUUUUGCUGAAGGAUGAGUCCGCGUACCAUUAGCUAGUUGGUAGGGUAAUGGCCUACCAAGGCGACGAUGGUUAGCUGGUCUGAGAGGAUGAUCAGCCACACUGGAACUGAGACACGGUCCAGACUCCUACGGGAGGCAGCAGUGAGGAAUAUUGCGCAAUGGGGGCAACCCUGACGCAGCAACGCCGCGUGAGUGAGGAAGGUUUUCGGACCGUAAAGCUCUGUCGAGCGGGAAGAAAUGCAUGGUGGCUAAUAUCCAUCAUGCUUGACGGUACCGCUAAAGGAAGACC
rnacentral:rRNA from 1 species